rnacentral:lncRNA from 1 species
AAGGGGGCAGGAUCAUCUCCUCCACCUAUCUCAAAGUUAGAAGUGACUCGAUGCCCAGGGUUGGAGUAGGCUUAGAAAAGUGCCGGGUGGAAGCCUGAGCUUACUUUAAGGUCCUCGUUAUCCUGCUAAAAUGGAAUGCAGGGACCUAGCACAAGUCCUCUCUCUUGACCCCCUCUCUUUAAAUACCAAUCAGUGUCUAGAAUACCAUACUGGUCUGCCUUGGGUCAAAUUCAGUGAUGUCAACCUUGACAUGGCAGAGCCUCUGAAUCAACCUUAGCAAUCACCCACUUCUGAUCUUAGUAAGGUAGUAACUAGAUGUCAUUGCUUAAGCUACCUAAAUCCACCUUUCUGCUGCUUGUAG